rnacentral:rRNA from 1 species
GAUGAACGCUGGCGGCGUGCCUAAUACAUGCAAGUCGAGCGAGCAGACGAGGAGCUUGCUCCUCUGACGUUAGCGGCGGACGGGUGAGUAACACGUGGAUAACCUACCUAUAAGACUGGGAUAACUUCGGGAAACCGGAGCUGAUACCGGAUAAUAUAUUGAACCGCAUGGUUCAAUAGUGAAAGACGGUUUUGCUGUCACUUAUAGAUGGAUCCGCGCCGCAUUAGCUAGUUGGUAAGGUAACGGCUUACCAAGGCAACGAUGCGUAGCCGACCUGAGAGGGUGAUCGGCCACACUGGAACUGAGACACGGUCCAGACUCCUACGGGAGGCAGCAGUAGGGAAUCUUCCGCAAUGGGCGAAAGCUUGACGGAGCAACGCCGCGUGAGUGAUGAAGGUCUUCGGAUCGUAAAACUCUGUUAUUAGGGAAGAACAAAUGUGUAAGUAACUAUGCACGUCUUGACGGUACCUAAUCAGAAAGCCACGGCUAACUACGUG